GAGAGUGGUUUGUGAGGGAGUGAAGGUUAUGGGGUUAUGUUCAUCUGUAAUGUAGUUGAGAUCUCAAUUUUAGCAUAUUCUUAUCGGAUUGCAAAAAUUUGUUAAUAUUACAAGUGGCAUGAAGAUAUUUGGUUACAGAUUGAGAAGACCUCAAGGUUUAAAUAAUUUAAAUCUUACUGUUGCAACAAUAGUUGGAAUUAUUUCUGGUGUUUACAUUUAUCAACCCUUGCUUGCGCGUUACCAUAAAGAAUUAUUAGAGGCUGAAAAAAAGGCGAAAGAACAGGGACUGGAAAAGUAAAUAGCGGUUUAAAGGGUUCCAAAAUCAUAGAAUCGAUUUUGUAAGAGCAAAAAUCAAAAGAACCAAGAUGGUAAAGAAAAACGAGACUUUUCCUGCGGUAGCAAAAACUGUCUUCUUCUCUCGUUCAACCAUGAAAAUUGCAUUUGCUAUUACUGGGACAUUUAUGUUCUUUAAAGCAUUUUUACCAUGGACUAGAGACCGAAAUAUGAGACAGCUUCACGGUGAGGUUGAUUCAGUUUUACUAAAACAGUCAGGAAAGCAAAUUGAACCUUGAAAGAUUGUUGUAGUUUAAGGCAUGGUGUUUGUAAAUAAAUAAAUAAAUUUAGUUGUAUUUGAUGAGAAUUA